GCGAGCGUUAAUCGGAAUUACUGGGCGUAAAGCGCAUGCAGGUGGUUUGUUUAAGUCAGAUGUGAAAGACCCGGGGCGUCAACCUACGGAAUUGCAUUUGAAACUAGGCAAACUAGAGUACUGUAGAGGGGGGGUAGGAAUUUCAGGUGUAGCGGUGAAAUGCGUAGAGAUCUGAAGGAAUACCGGUGGCGAAGGCGGCCCCCUCGGACAGAUACUGACACUCAGAUGCGAAAGCGUGGGGGAGCAAACAGGAUUAGAUACCCCUGGUAG
rnacentral:rRNA from 1 species